UCUAGUGAUGAUGGCAAAGAGGUCACACCCGUUCCCAUACCGAACACGGAAGUUAAGCUCUUUUGCGCCGAUGGUAGUUGGGGGUUUCCCCCUGUGAGAGUAGGACGUCGCUGGGC
rnacentral:rRNA from 3 species